CACACUCCAAGCGAAGCUUGAUGUUGGGCGAUGCGGUCCCCUGGGAUCGCACGUCUGGAACGCGUGGGCGCCCGUCGCCGGGACGUGAACGUAGCAAGACGUUAGUCAAAAUCGUUCAGUAAGUUCUGACGGAGGGCAGCCUCAUCUCUUUCUUUAUGAA
rnacentral:misc_RNA from 1 species